CGGGGUGCGGGGCCGGGCCGCCCCGCCGCACUUUGCACCUGUUCACCCAGCGCUCAUGAAAAAUGCAUCCACCUCCGAGCCGGAGCGAAGGAGGUCCCGGUGCAGGCAGAUCCCAGCGGAGGCAAAACGGGGCUGGUGGAGGGUCCUCUUAUCCUUCCACUGUACGUGAUCAGUCUCUUUAAUAAUUGUGCAGGGCAGGACUAUCCCACUGGCUCCAGCAGCUUCUUACCCGGAGACGGUUCGGGUGGAUAAAUAAUUAAAAUCCUAUCCCUCGGCUUCGCGAAAAUAUUGACUCGGAUCCUUCUUCUUUUCCAUACAUCAGCUGCACCCGGAUUCACCCCGGAUAGAGCAGGUGAAGGGGAAAAAAAAAAAAAAAAAAAAAAAAGAAAAAGAAGAAAAAAAAGCCCACCCUCCUCCACCCCGGCAGCCCUCGGCUGUCUUCUCGAAAGGCGCUCUGUCUCUGUCCUGGCGGGUUGUGCCUCUCCCCAAAGCCGCCUCGCCGAGCAGGAUGGAGGAAGCACUGAAGGGCAAACUGGUCUGUUUGCUCCCCCUUUAUUCCAGGGCUGGGCGGCUUUGCUUUAGAAAUCCCCACUCCGGGCAUGAAGGUACUGGAAAGAAAGAAAGUUCUUACCUGCUAUUUUCUAAGCCUAAUACAUCCGAUCUGCGUUUUAAGUACAUAUUUUUUAAUUAAAAAACAAUAAAAAAAUCAACGGUCUCGGACCAUUUCACUUCCUCAUAUUCAGUCCCACUGAAUUUUCAGAUGCCCUUUUAGGAAUUUCCCUCUAUUUAUUUACUUAGCAAUCCCAGCAGAUGGAGAAAAAAAAAAAAAAAAAGAAAAAAAAAAAUCACCAAAAAAACAGGUAUAUACGAGAUAGGCUCGGAUAUUGGACCAGAGGAGAGAGAGAUCAGUCCCAGGAGGAUGUUGGUAAAGGCAAGGAGGCGGCUCUCGUUGCUCUGCCAGUGUAAUGAUGGUGCUCACACAUGUAGGACUCCUCGGGUGCGGGGUAUCCUUUGGUCUCUGGGCUAAACUGGCUACAAGGCAUUCAAUGGGGAUUUUUGAUUUGCGUUGGUGAAAGGUAUGGAUGUUUUAUUACUGCUUCCAUUAAUCACUUGGCCAGAAGUCCUAGGAGAAUCCUGGAGCUCCACCAUGCCAGGCAAUGGAUCAGCACAGCGCACAAAAAUGAUGCUUACCAUAAAAAAUUUGUCAUCUAAAUAAGACUGAAAAUCCUCCUAGCUGAACCGAGAGAAGAUGUGCCGAGGAAUAAAGAAACCACAGCUCCAAUUGAUUUGCUUUAAACUGCGUGCCUGCUAGCGCUUUUCCUCUCUUCUGGAGAGAAUUUCAGUGGAAGUCUCUUGUCAUGCCCUUCACAGCCGCUGGUGAUGGCAGUACCGAUGAGCACUGGCAGCCCUAUGGCUUGUGGAGGCAGAAGCCACUGUUCACGCACGGCCUGGGCUCGUCUGCGCUGUCUUCCUUCGGUCUCGGCUACGUGACAACAUCUCCUGAGCGGUUGGAUGAUCAGUCACCUCACUACGGUUGGGGAGGGGAAAAUAGUUGCCGUUCCACAUAUUAUCGGGAAAGGACUGCUCUAGAAAGUUGUUCUUAACGUUAUCUCCAAGACGUUUGCUGCUUAGGAGAUCAGAAAGUAGAGAGGUGGCUACUUGGUGGUAUUAACAUAUGAGAACUGCAAGCAAAUGAAUGCCUCCUGCUUUUUGAUUUAUCUACUGAAGCAAGCCUGCCUAUCCUAUCUAUCUAUCUAUCUAUCUAUCUAUCUAUCUAUCUGUAUCUAUCGUGAAGCAAAGCCUAAACUAUUCAUUAUUGUCGAAUACAAAUGCUUCCUACAAAUUCUCUCUUGUUUCCAGUUCCAGUGUUCUCUAUUUUUUUCAGUAGGCUUUGGUCAGUUACUGCUGAGUUUGGAAAAUUAAGAGGGGGUAAACCAAGGCAACAACUCAGAGAUGGAUUAUAAGAACAUACUAGAUUGCUAAACCUUUGGGGAAGGAGGCUGAAUGUUCCUGGGUUUAUAAAGAAAUGGGAGAAUGGUGCUAUAAUUCUGGUUAGGAACUCUUCACAUAGAGUGAUGUUGAUGACACUGAUGAGAAUAAUGUUGGGAUACGUUCCAUCUGUGCCUUUUAAUGAUCUUGUUUGGAGGCAUUUGGAAUCUCUUAUGGAAAAUACUCAAACUCACUUGCCCUCACUGCAGUUAGAAAAAUUCAGACUCGGCUUUGUUCUACAAAGCUGCUUUGCUUUAAGUAGCAGUUCUGCAAAACAUAACUUCACAUAUUUCUUUUACUCUAUGCUUUAUUACUGAGGAUAUUUGCGUGAAAACAGGGUCUUUGUUUAAAAGUUCCUGCUUCUUAUUCAUCACAGCUCGUUGGGUUGGAAGCAAUUGUGAUUCCCUCUACAGAAGGCUUCGAUCCCUUCAGAGCAGGAAUAG